rnacentral:lncRNA from 1 species
CAGCGCUUAAAGAGAUCCAUUUUAUUGGUCCGUAGCAGGUCCAGGUGUAGCUGGCGCCCCGCGGGUUUUAGACUGGUGUAAAUAUGCCCCUCCCUCCCCACACUGAUCCUAUAAAACCCAGGAAGGAAUGACAGAAUAAACAGACCACAAUAUAUAAUAUAAUGUUACAAUAAUACAAAUGAUAUAAAUUAUAUUGUGAAACAGGUUAGCAUUACCAUCCGCACACAAGCAGCUCCCAAGAUAUAUUAAGGUGUAAAUAAAGAUGAGAGUGAGAACAUUGGAAUAAUACAGAAAUCUGAACAUGGGACGCUUUCAGACAGGAAGGAGUGUCAUAAUGUUGUCUGUGAAGCCCAGUAACCUCAGAAAGGGUCCUGUCUGUCUCAGCUGUAAUACCAGUCUACAGGGUAACAGUCUGGUGGUCCAGUCUACAUGGUAACAGUCUGGUGGUCCAGUCUACAUGGUAACAGUCUGGUGGUCCAGUCUACAUGGUAACAGUCUGCUGGUCCAGUCUACAGGGUAACAGUCUGCUGGUCCAGUCUACAGGGUAACAGUCUGCUGGUCCAGUCUACAGGGUAACAGUCUGGUGGUCCAGUCUACAGGGUAACAGUCUGCUGGUCCAGUCUACAGGGUAACAGUCUGGUGGUCCAGUCUACAGGGUAACAGUCUGCUGGUCCAGUCUACAGGGUAACAGUCUGCUGGUCCAGUCUACAGGGUAACAGUCUGCUGGUCCAGUCUACAGGGUAACAGUCUGGUGGUCCAGUCUACAGGGUAACAGUCUGGUGGUCCAGUCUACAGGGUAACAGUCUGCUGGUCCAGUCUACAGGGUAACAGUCUGCUGGUCCAGUCUACAGGGUAACAGUCUGCUGGUCCAGUCUACAGGGUAACAGUCUGCUGGUCCAGUCUACAGGGUAACAGUCUGCUGGUCCAGUCUACAGGGUAACAGUCUGCUGGUCCAGUCUACAGGGUAACAGUCUGGUGGUCCAGUCUACAGGGUAACAGUCUGGUGGUCCAGUCUACAGGGUAACAGUCUGGUGGUCCAGUCUACAGGGUAACAGUCUGCUGGUCCAGUCUACAGGGUAACAGUCUGGUGGUCCAGUCUACAGGGUAACAGUCUGGUGGUCCAGUCUACAGGGUAACAGUCUGCUGGUCCAGUCUACAUGGUUUAGCUUAUAAAACGGUCCAGAAACACAGAAAGGCGUUAAAAUGAAUUUCCAUUUAACAGUCAAUAAGACAAGUCGUAAACAACAACAGUUUGUCUGUCAGGUGUCCUGCCGUCCCUGUUGGUUAGUAAAGUGUCCCAACGGUGGCCUGUCUAGGACAGGUCAGUUCCAGACAGACAGACAGGUUGUGUAGUCUAGGACAGGUCAGUUCCAGACAGACAGACAGGUUGUGUAGUCUAGGACAGGUCCGUUCCAGACAGACAGUCUAGGACAGGUCAACGACAGACAGGCUGUGUAGUGACAGACAGCUGAUAUGAACAGUGAUUAGAGUGUAGUAAUAACAAUAGAAAAGAUGAUUACGACAGUGACAUUAAAGACCAACAUUUAUCCCCCGUUAACCACAGUCCUGGAAUCAGAUGUUAACUCCUGUCUCUACAUAGUGGAGGUUAGGACCCCCUGUUAACCACAGUCCUGGAAUCAGAUGUUAACUCCUGUCUCUACAUAGUGGAGGUUAGGACCCCCUGUUAACCACAGUCCUGGAAUCAGAUGUUAACUCCUGUCUACAUAGUGGAGGUUAGACCCCCGUUAACCACAGUCCUGGAAUCAGAUGUUAACUCCUGUCUCUACAUAGUGGAGGUUAGACCCCCGUUAACCACAGUCCUGGAAUCAGAUGUUAACUCCUGUCUCUACAUAGUGGAGGUUAGGGACCCCCUGUUAACCACAGUCCUGGAAUCAGAUGUUAACUCCUGUCUACAUAGUGGAGGUUAGACCCCCGUUAACCACAGUCCUGGAAUCAGAUGUUAACUCCUGUCUCUACAUAGUGGAGGUUAGGACCCCCCGUUAACCACAGUCCUGGAAUCAGAUGUUAACUCCUGUCUCUACAUAGUGGAGGUUAGGACCCCCGUUAACCACAGUCCUGGAAUCAGAUGUUAACUCCUGUCUACAUAGUGGAGGUUAGGACCCCCGUUAACCACAGUCCUGGAAUCAGAUGUUAACUCCUGUCUACAUAGUGGAGGUUAGACCCCCGUUAACCACAGUCCUGGAAUCAGAUGUUAACUAGGUUAAGGGAUCUGAUGCUAGAUAGACAGAAAGGUUCAACCUCCUCGUUAUUCCGUCGACCCCCAGACAGGGGGGGCCCUGAUGAACUCCAGACAGGGGGGGCCCUAAUGAACUCCAGCCGGG